AACGAACGCUGGCGGCAGGCUUAACACAUGCAAGUCGAACGCCCCGCAAGGGGAGUGGCAGACGGGUGAGUAACGCGUGGGAAUCUACCCAGAUCUUCGGAACAACUGAGGGAAACUUCAGCUAAUACCGGAUACGCCCUACGGGGGAAAGAUUUAUCGGUCCUGGAUGAGCCCGCGUUGGAUUAGCUAGUUGGUGGGGUAAGGGCCUACCAAGGCGACGAUCCAUAGCUGGUCGGAGAGGAUGAUCGGCCACCCUGGGACUGAGACACGGCCCAGACUCCUACGGGAGGCAGCAGUGGGGAAUAUUGGACAAUGGGCGAAAGCCUGAUCCAGCCAUGCCGCGUGAGUGAUGAAGGCCUUAGGGUUGUAAAGCUCUUUCAGUGGGGAAGAUAAUGACGGUACCCACAGAAGAAGCCCCGGCUAACUUCGUGCCAGCAGCCGCAGUAACAC
rnacentral:rRNA from 1 species